rnacentral:rRNA from 1 species
ACCCAGCCGUAACCCACAAUUAAAACACUAAUUGUUCGCCAAACAACUACGAGUAGUAACUUAAAACUUAAAAGACUUGACGGUACUUCACCACAGCCUAGAGGGGCCUGUCUAAUAACCGACAACCCACGAUUAACCCCGCCCCUUCUCGCCAACAGUCUAUAUACCACCGUCGCAAGCUUACCCCGUAAGCGAUACAAAGUGAGCUACAAAGUUUUACACUAAAACGACAGGUCGAGGUGUAACCUAUGAAGGGGACAAAGAUGGGCUACAUUCUCUCACUUAGAGAACACGAAUUUCACUAUGAAUAUAGUGACUGAAGGAGGAUUUAGCAGUAAGMUAAGAAUAAAAUACCAAGGUAACAUAACGCAAUGAAGU